UUUAAUUUUCCUCGAAAAAGGAGAUUUCUCCUCCCAGGUCAGAGGCUCUUUUGUGUCUGCUCGGCUGCGAGACGGGGACGGAGACAAAGCAGGAUGGGGGAAAACGGAGAGAAGCGAGCCGGGAAAAGCCGGGAAAAGCCGGGAAAAACCGGGAUCGCUGCCCGGGGCUGGGGGCAGAGGGGGCCGUGCCCUGGGUACCGCAUCCACCGCGCGGGGAAUGGGAAAGCGGCGGGGAUGAGCGGCUCGGGAGGCGAGAGAUGGAGAGGCAGGAGAUAAUUUAUGCAGCAGCUCGGCUCGGGGCUGCGGGCGGCCCGGCCCCAGCCGGGUGGGAGGGAUGGAGAGGGAUGGAGAUGGAUGGAGGCCUCCCCCCAUCGCCCCUUCACCCGCCCCCUCCCGCCCCGCAGCCACACACAGCCUCGCAAUCCCCUUUACAAUUAGGAAAGCACCAAUUCAGCACCGCCGGGGCUUUUGUUCCUUCUCUUCUCCGCCGGCCGAGCCUUCCCCGCUACCUCCAAACAGCGCCCGGCGCCUCCUGAAGUUGCUUUGCAGGAUCCCCCCUCCAAAAAAAAUUAAAAAAAAUUAAAAAGACUCGCUGGAGUCCCGCGGGUGAAGCUGCGGGACGAGAGAGGAGGAGGAAAGAAAAGCAAGGAAAAAAAAAAAAAAAAAAGAGGAGCAGGAGGAAGAAAAAAAAAAAAGUAAGACGGCGUUUUCCCGUUUUUUUUUUCUCGCUUUCUUUGUCUGGAGCGGUGCCUGCAGGAGUUGUGUGCGUGAGGGAGAGGGGGCACGGGAGGAAGGCUCAGCCCUCAGCCCGCGGGGGGAUCGGCGCUGGCGGCGGCCUCACCUGGGCAGCACCCCCGGGGAUGCCAGCCCGGAGCAUCCCGAGCUGAAAAUGUGGGAAAAUAUAGAUUUAAUUCUCUCUCGGCGGUGUUGUGGCUGUGGCUUGCUGUGGCUCUGUUCUUGUGGAGGUAGCUGGUGAGCUUGGGGGGAAAAAAAAAAAUGAAAGUGGCUUUGUUUUUGGGUGAAAAUAACCCUGAAGUGGCCAAAAUUCACCUCCGUGUGGGUAUUUGUGAGGCGUGUGGGUAUAUUCAUGCUGUAUUCCCUUUAUUUAUGCUGACAGAGAAUUACAUGCAACACAUGUUAACGUAGUUAUCGGUUAAUUACACGUGAGCUCGUUAACUCUUGCAUUGCGGGGCUGCAAUGGGUGUUCCUGUACAAGAAUUUAAGUUUGUUUUUUUUUACCCCAGGCGAAGCGGGAGCGGGCUCGGGCAUUGUCUGUAGGGAAUAAACCCCGCGGGAGGCGCGUUUGGGGUUUUGAUUUUUGGUUUGAAGGGCACAGGGCAGCUGCUGGUGCCUGCCUGGAUCUCUCUGGGUGCGGGAAGGAUGCGGGAGGAGCCGCAUCCAGCCCUUCCUCCUGCAAAACUUGCAGCUCCAAGCCGGGAGAGGAGGAAGAGGGGGAGAGGAAGGCUCCCCGAGUCCUCUCCGAUGAGGUAAUCCCGAAGAAAGAUAAGGGAAGCGCUGCGUGUAUCAACCUGAGCGGUGAUGUCAGCCAGGAAAAAGCAGAUUAAGGACUCGGAGAGGGGAAUUGCCGCGAUUUUGGCGUCACCCGCUUGCCGCUGUUAAUUCAGGUCUCCCGGAGUUGCUCCCGAGCCUCUCCAGCUCCGGCUGAUGCCCCAGUUCACCUUCGCCUGUUUCUGUGGCCUCCACGGCUUCUGCAAGAUGAAGAGGAAGAAGGAAGAGGCCGGCGGGGGGCAGGAGACGGCCGUGUGAGGGGCGGCUCUGCCCGGGACCCCUCUGUCCCCUCGGCUCCCCGGGGCAGAGCCAGAGCCCGCCCUGACCUUGCCGAGGAUGUCACCCUGAUGUCACCCCGAUGUCACCCCGGUGUCACACAGGUGCCGCUGCCACCCUGCCCGGACACCCCGUCCUCCCUCAUCCCUCUGGGAGCGACAAUUCCAUCCUGAUCCAGCCCAGCUCCAGCAAUUCCCAGCAGAAAGACACGGAAAAAUCCCAAGAAACCGGCCCAGAGCUCAUCCAUGCCAGAGCCGGACGGUGCGAGGUGCAGCUCAUCCUCCCGAUCCCGGAUCCCACCGGAAUUCCUACAAAUCCCUGUCCACGGAUUCCGCCAGAAUUCCUACAAAUCCCUGUCCAUGGAUCCUGCCGGAAUUCCUACAAAUCCCUGUGCCAUGGAUCCCGACGGAAUUCCUACAAAUCCCUGCCCAUGGAUCCCGCCAGAAUUCCUACAAAUCCCUGUCCACGGAUUCUGCCUGAAUUCCUACAAAUCCCUGUCCACUGAUCCCACCAGAAUUCCUACAAAUCCCUGGGACACGGAACCUGCCGGAAUUCCUACAAAUCCCUGUGCCACGGAUCCCACCGGAAUUCCUACAAAUCCCUGUCCACGGAUUCUGCCGGAAUUCCUACAAAUCCCUGUCCACAGAUCCCACUGGAAUUCCUACAAAUCCCUGUGCCACGGAUCCCGCCAGAAUUCCUACAAAUCCCUGGGACACGGAACCUGCUGGAAUUCCUACAAAUCCCUGUGCCAAAAAUCCCGCCGGAAUUCCUACAAAUCCCUGUCCAUGUAUCCUGCCAGAAUUCCUACAAUCCCUGUCCACAGAUCCCUUCGGAGUUCCUACAAACCUCUGUACCACGGAUUCCGCCGGAAUUCCUACAAAUCCCUGUACACUGAUCCCGCCGGAAUUCCUACAAAUCCCUGUCCACAGAUCCCGCCAGAAUUCCUACAAAUCCCUGUCCAUGGAUCCUGCCGGAAUUCCUACAAUCCCUGUGCCACGGAUCCCACCUGAAUUCCUGCAAAUCCCUGUGCCAAAAAUCCUGCUGGAAUUCCUGCAAAUCCCUGUCCACGGAUCCCACCAGAAUUCCUACAAAUCCCUGUCCAUGGAUUCCGUUGUAAUUCCUACAAAUCCCUGUCCACGGAUUUUGCCGGAAUUCCUACAAAUCCCUGUCCACGGAUCCCACCAGAAUUCCUAAAAAUCCCUGGGACACGGAUCAUGCCAGAAUUUCUACAAAUCCCUGGGACACGGAACCUGCUGGAAUUCCUACAAAUCCCUGUCCACAGAUCCCUUCGGAAUUCCUACAAAUCCCUGUCCACGGAUCCCACCAGAAUUCCUACAAAUCCCUGUCCACGGAUUCCGACAGAAUUCCUAAAAAUCCCUGGGACAUGGAACCUGCUGGAAUUCCUACAAACCUCUGUGCCACAGAUUCCGCCGGAAUUCCUACAAACCUCUGUACCACGGAUCCCACCGGAAUUCCUACAAAUCCCUGGGACACGGAACCUCCUGGAAUUCCUACAAAUCCCUGUCCACAGAUCCCGCUGGAAUUCCUACAAAUCCCUGGGACACGGAUCGUGUUGGAAUUCCUACAAAUCCAUAAGCCACGGAUCCUGCUGGAAUUCCUACAAAUCCAUAAGCCACGGAUCCCACUGGAAUUCCUACAAAUCCCUGGGACACGGAUCGUGUCGGAAUUCCUACAAAUCCCUGCCCAUGGAUUCCCGGCAUUCAUGGAAGGAGCCUCCAGCUCCUGGGGAAGGCCGAAAGAUGAAUUUGUUCCCAGCAGCAAUAAUCCUUUUUUUUCCCUUUUUUAACCCCAUCACGCCAAACUUCCCUCGGAGCUGCCCCGCUCACAUUCCCACCGGGAAUUUGGGGUGUGUGACCCCAGGCAGGACAAUUCCAGGAGAUUAAAAAAAAAAAAAAAUCAAAAAAAAGCCCCUUUUUAAAUAUUUUUCUCCCCAGAAAAUCACCAGCUCAAAGCCGUCCCUUCUCCCUUCCACAGGGAGGAUUUUCUUCCAGGUAUUCCCAGUCUUCCUAUAGGCCAAAAUAAUUUGUGGCUGCCCCAAAAAUUGGUGUUUUUCCCAAUGUUAUGCCAAGGACGAAGCUCCAGGUGGGCUCAGGGAAGUUCCUCAGCUUUGGGAAAACGCUGACUUUGUUCUGUUCCUGUUUUUUGCACAUCAGCAGAGCCUCCCCUGUUCCACCUUUGCAUCUGCAGCGCUGCCCUUGGCGAGGACAAUUUGGGAUCAGCUCUGGGCAAAAAAAAAAAAAAAAUCCACAAACCCAAAAAAAAAAAACCAAAAAAAAAACACAAAACAAAAAAAACCCCAAAAACCAGAAAAAAAACCCCCAAAAUCCAAGGAUUUGGUGGAACUCCAAGGGCAGCUCCUGAAUGUAACUUUAUUUUUGCACAAGGAUUUGUGGUGGCCACACGAGGCAUGCAUUUAAGGAUUUAAAUAAGUUGGGAUUCAUCCCUGCUCUGGAAAUGCUCAGGGGUGUUGAGAUAAGGCUGGAAUUCCAGCUUUGUUUUAUUCCAGCAUAAAUCCAGAGGGAGAAUCUGACACUGAGAUACGUAGGAAAAUAUUAAUUAUAGAAAAACGAGCUUGGACUGAUUCCCAUCCCGCAGAUUUCUCCCGUUUCUCCAGGUUUUUCCUAUGCAAAAACACACAAAAAACCAGCAAAAACAAAGCCAGGUCAGCAGCAAAUCCUGACUCAACAAAGCCCCGCUUAAACCUCAGGUUUUGCUUUGGGAUUUUGCUCCACCCCAUCGAUUUUCCUGAUUCCAGCCUGGAAUCCUUGCAGCCUCUCCUGACAAUGAUCAAAGCAUUAAAUCUCUUUUUAUUGUUCUUUUUUUAAUCCCUGCUGCCUGGAUUUCUUCGGGAAAGGACUCCCGAGAUGUACAGCCAUAAGAAUCUGUACUGUACGUUUAAUUUUUGGGGUUUUUUUUGGGGGGGGUGUGGGGAGGGAGGAGGGAAAAAUCAACGUGGCAUUUGUAAAUAAGCACAGGCAUCUUCCACGCACAGAGCAGAGCGCUUCCUAUAGGAAUUCCUAUGCCAGAGGAAUAAAUAAAUUAAUAAAUAAUGAAAUAAA